rnacentral:rRNA from 1 species
AGGUGUAAGACCUCGGCAUACUGCUCAGUAACACGUGGUUAACCUGCCCUAAGGUGGAGAAUACUCCCGGGAAACUGGGGCUAAUGCUCCAUAGUGGAUAUAUCCUGGAAUGGUAUAUCCUCGAAAGAUCCGUCGCCUUAGGAUGGGACUGCGUCCGAUUAGGUUGUUGGCGGGGUAACGGCCCACCAAGCCUUUUAUCGGUACGGGUUGUGGGAGCAAGAUCCCGGAGAUGGAUUCUGAGACAUGAAUCCAGGCCCUACGGGGCGCAGCAGGCGCGCAAACUUUACAAUGCGAGCAAUCGUGAUAAGGAAACCCUGAGUGCCUGUCGAUGCAGGCUGUUCAUAUAUCUAAAUCAUAUGUGAAGAAAGGGCAGGGCAAGACCGGUGCCAGCCGCCGCGGUAAUACCGGCUGCUCGAGUGAUGGCCACUAUUACUGGGUUUAAAGCGUCCGUAGCUUGACUGUUAGGUCUCUUGGGAAAUCUUCGCGCUCAACGUGAAGGCGUCUAAGAGAUACCGGCAGUCUUGGAACUGGGAGAGGUAAACCGUACUUCGGGGGUAGGAGUGAAAUCUUGUAAUCCUCGAGGGACGACCUAUGGCGAAGGCAGUUUACCAGAACAGCUUCGACAGUGAGGGACGAAAGCUGGGGGAGCAAACGGGAUUAGAUACCCCGGUAGUCCCAGCCGUAAACAAUGUGCGUUAGGUGUGUCGGUAACCACGUGUUACUGAUGCGCCGAAGAGAAAUCGUGAAACGCACCACCUGGGAAGUACGGUCGCAAGGCUGAAACUUAA